GACGAACGCUGGCGGUGUGCUUAACACAUGCAAGUCGAACGGUAAGGCCCUUUCGGGGGUACACGAGUGGCGCACGGGUGCGUAACACGUGAGUAACCUGCCCUCAUCUCUGGGAUAACAGUCGUAAACGGUUGCUACUACUGGAUAUGAGCUUGCAAGGCAUCUUGUGGGUUGGAAAGAUUUUUUUUGGUUGGGGAUGGACUCGCGGCCUAUCAGCUUGUUGGUGAGGUAGUGGCUCACCAAGGCUUCGACGGGUAGCCGGCCUGAGAGGGCGACCGGCCACAUUGGAACUGAGAUACGGCCCAAACUCCUACGGGAGGCAGCAGGGGGGAAUAUUGCACAAUGGACGGAAGUCUGAUGCAGCAACGCCGCGUGCGGGAUGACGGCCUUCGGGUUGUAAACAGCUUUCAAUUGUGACGAAGCGUUUUUGUGACGGUAGCAGUAGAAGAAGCACCGGCUAACUACGUG
rnacentral:rRNA from 1 species